rnacentral:rRNA from 1 species
UACGUACUGUGCGAAUGUUAUUCGGAAUCACUGGGCUUAAAGGGUGCGUAGGCGGCCUGUUUAGUCAGACGUGAAAUCUCACGGCUCAACCGUGGGGCUGCGUUUGAAACUGGCAGGCUUGAGAUGGCUAGGGGUAAGUGGAACAGCACGUGGAGCGGUGAAAUGUGUUGAGAUGUGCUGGAACGCCGGUGGCGAAAGCGACUUACUGGGGCCAAACUGACGCUGAGGCACGAAAGCCAGGGGAGCGAACGGG